rnacentral:rRNA from 1 species
CCCCUUCGGGGGACAAGUAGAGUGGCGCACGGGUGAGUAACACGUAGGUAAUCUACCUUCGGAUGGGGAAUAACAAUCGGAGACGGUUGCUAAUACCGCAUAAUGCAGCGGCACCUAAUGGUGACAGUUGUUAAAGCGGGGGAUCGAAAGACCUCGCGUCUGAAGAGGAGCCUGCGGCGGAUUAGCUAGUUGGUAAGGUAAUGGCUUACCAAGGCAACGAUCCGUAGCCGGCCUGAGAGGGCGGUCGGCCACACUGACACUGACAUACGGGUCAGACUCCUACGGGAGGCAGCAGUCGGGAAUUUUGGGCAAUGGGCGAAAGCCUGACCCAGCAACGCCGCGUGAAGGAUGAAAUCCCUCGGGAUGUAAACUUCGCAAGAACGGGAAGAAUAAGUAGGGGAUAAUACCCCCUAUGAUGACGGUACCGUUUGUAAGCUCCGGCUAACUCCGUGCCAGCAGCCGCGGUAAUACGGGGGGAGCAAGCGUUGUUCGGAUUUACUGGGCGUAAAGGGCGCGUAGGCGGCCACCGCAAGUCAAUUGUGAAAUCUCCGGGCUUAACUCGGAAAGGUCAACUGAUACUGCGGGGCUAGAGUGCAGAAGGGGCAACUGGAAUUCUCGGUGUAGCGGUGAAAUGCGUAGAUAUCGAGAGGAACACCUGCGGCGAAGGCGGGUUGCUGGGCUGACACUGACGCUGAGGCGCGAAAGCUAGGGGAGCGAACGGG